rnacentral:rRNA from 1 species
UACGGGGGGAGCAAGCGUUGUUCGGAUUUACUGGGCGUAAAGGGCGCGUAGGCGGCCUCUGCAAGUCGACUGUGAAAUCUCCGGGCUUAACCCGGAACGGUCAGCCGAUACUGCAGGGCUAGAGUGCAGAAGGGGCAACUGGAAUUCUCGGUGUAGCGGUGAAAUGCGUAGAUAUCGAGAGGAACACCUGCGGCGAAGGCGGGUUGCUGGGCUGACACUGACGCUGAGGCGCGAAAGCUAGGGGAGCAAACAGG